AUCUUGCACUUGGAGGACCUUAUGGAUCUUUAUAUGUUUAAAAAAUAAUAUCUUUUCUUGAUAUCCAAUUUGCUCAAAACAAAGAAUCAUUUACUUCUACCUUAUGAAUUGUCCAAAUUCAACACAAUCCCAAGCAUUGAUCAAAGCUGUAACACACAUCAUAUAAAAUGUAUUAUAAAUUUUAAAUAUUUAGUUAAUCACACCAGAAAUAAAUAAUGAUACAUUUCAGCGACAAACAAAAUGUAUUAAAAUAAAAAAAAAAACCAUGGAAAGGCUAACAAUUAUGAAAUCAACAUUCGACGACUACUUUUAGUUAUCAUUGCUAUAGUACGACACAAAACCCAAUUUUGCAGCAAAGACAAUGCAAAAUAUUUCAUAUGAGGAAAAAAAAAAUGCGAAAUUCAAUAAUAUCAAGCAAAGAUCAUAUAAAUUAGCCUUCCCAUUUCAAAAUAAAAUCUAGCUCAUAAUUUUUGGCGCCUAAAAUCCAAUCCAAACAGAACAUGACAAAAUAAACAGAUAAAGAUUGUAAUAACCCUUAUCCAAAUAAUCUAAAAUUUUAUUGGGCCAAGCCCAGCCCCCUUUGUGUUAACUUAAGGCCCAAGGUUAGGUCCAAUGACCCAACCCGUGAGCCCUAUCCUCUUCCUUCCUUAUUUUCUGAAAAACUAAGCUUUCUCUCUUUCUCUCUCUAACUCUCGGAAGUUUCCACUUUCCCCUGAGCUCCGAGAGCUCUCGUCCCCCCUCCCUUUUCGAAAUCUAAACAAAUCCAACAAAAUAACCACAUAUCUAGAAUCCUUAGGGCUUGAGGAACUCAACUGUAAUCCUGCAUGCAUCAUUAGAACACCUCUGUGUGUUCUACCAUUGAAGCCGAGAGCUUCAAAUCUCCGAAACUCCAACACAGAACCCGACGAGAAAAUCCGUCGAAGCUCGUACACGAACUCGGCCAAUCUCGACCCCAUUUGAUCCUAUUUGUGGUGAAUUUGCUAGUGGGGAUUUCCUUAAUCCUUUUCCGCACAACUCUGCUGCUACGGAGUAUUUAUGAGUGAACCCCUUCUAAAAUUACAUGAUUUCAUAGUUUAAUUGCAUAAAUGAAAAGCAUGCCUUACGAGUUUAUGGAUUGAUUUUAUGUUAAACAUAUUUAUUGAAAUGUUGAUUAUCGUCUCGUUAUUUUGUGAGGAAUUAAUUGUUGGCCUAUAUUGAGCUAUAGUUUGAUAUAUUGUAUUUUCUAUAAAAACCAUGAAUUGGUAGACUAUCUGAUGGAUGACGAUAGGAUGCUAGAACACGUUUUAGAAACCCCUCUUUAUAGAAUAGAUGAUGGAUGACUUUAUACUAUGAAGUGGUUAUUUAUGAGAGGUGUAACUAUUUGUGCGUACCUAGAGGACACUAUGCCGCCUGGGGCGACGAUCUGGUGUUGGCAGUUAGGCUGGGAGAAAUAAUCCCUAGCUAUGGGCUGAGGGACACGAAGCAGGCAUUGGGCUAGGAGUUGGUAAUCUCUGGCUACGGGCGCAGA